AACAGAACUCUAUUAGAAAGAACAAGAGCAAUGUUGAAGGCUGCAGGUCUAGGAAAGUCAUUCUGGGCAGAAGCAGUCAAUACCGCCUGUUAUAUGAUAAAUCGAUCUCCAUCAAUUACAAUUGAGCCGAAGACACCGAUGGAGAUGUGGACUGGAAAGCCAGCUGAUUAUUCUCGAUUGUAUAUAUUUGAAAGUCCUGUGUACAUGAUGUACAAUAC